GGUGAACGCUGGCGGCGUGCUUAAGACAUGCAAGUCGAACGCAGUCUUCGGACUGAGUGGCGCACGGGUGAGUAACACGUAACUGACCUACCCCCAAGUCGCGGAUAACUGGCCGAAAGGUCAGCUAAUACGUGAUGUGAUGUCCCCUUUCUGGGGGGCCAUUAAAGGUUUACUGCUUGGGGAUGGGGUUGCGUUCCAUCAGCUAGUUGGCGGGGUAAAGGUCCACCAAGGCAACGACGGAUAGCCGGCCUGAGAGGGUGGCCGGCCACAGGGGCACUGAGACACGGGUCCCACUCAUACUGGAGGCAGCAGUUAGGAAUCUUCCACAAUGGGCGAAAGCCUGAUGGAGCGACGCCGCGUGAGGGAUGAAGGUUCUCGGAUCGUAAACCUCUGAAUCAGGGACGAAAGACGCGUAAGCGGGAAGACGGUACCUGAGUAAUAGCACCGGCUAACUCCGUGCCAGCAGCCGCCGCGG
rnacentral:rRNA from 1 species